UACGGAGGGUGCGAGCGUUAAUCGGAAUGACUGGGCGUAAAGGGUGCGUAGGUGGUUUAGCGAGUUAGUUGUGAAAUCCCUGGGCUUAACCUAGGAAGGUCAACUAAGACAGUUAGGCUAGAGUAUAGGAGAGGGUAGUGGAAUUUCCGGUGUAGCGGUGAAAUGCGUAGAGAUCGGAAGGAACGCCGGUGGCGAAGGCGGCUACCUGGCCUCAUACUGACACUGAGGCACGAAAGCGUGGGGAGCAAACAGG
rnacentral:rRNA from 1 species